AUAUGUAUUAUAACUUUGGUUGUGAUGUGUUACCCCAUUGAUUGCCAGAUUGAUUCAGCUGUUCUGGCUGGCUAGGUGGGUGUCCCCUUCCUCCUCCACCAUUCUACGUGCAUCCUUCACGAAGCUGCACACUCAGUGGAAGAGGAUUACCAUCCCAGAUAGAGGAGGACCAUUCUUCAGUCAAGAGUAUACAAGCAGCUGCAAUACCUUGCUAGAACUUCCAAACAAGCUCUCAAGGUUCAUGACACUAUUAGGAGAUAGCAGAGCCUUUAAGAAAAUGGGCUUAGUGGGAGGCCUCUGAUCACUGGGGUGUGCCUUC
rnacentral:snRNA from 1 species